rnacentral:lncRNA from 1 species
UUAAAGAAGUGUGGUUGGCAGUUGGGUUAGAAGGGGAGAUGAUGAGAAUGGGAGUGGCCUCCCCAUAUUCCCUUUACCUUUGUCCCCAGGGUGUGUAUCUUCUCACAGGAGCCAGAUCCCAAGAUGUGUCCACCAAGCGCCCUGCCUCUGGAGGCAGAUAUCUGUUUGAGUCCCAGAUUUCUCCAAAUGAUACUUUCUUUGGAGAAUUUUAACAAGAGGCUGCUAUGGUCCAGGGCCUCCAUUCCCUGCCUCCCUAGAUCCCUAAACCCUGGAUCCACUUGGAGAUUUUGUCUGCAAAUGGAAACUCUGGAUCCAGCCCUGGCUAGGUACCCAGGCUGUCAUAAUUUUAGUCCAGCUGGGAAAAUUCCUUUGUGUUUUUUCCAUGAUCUCAUAUUUUUCCCAUGGUCCUGGGAGGAGGGGAAGGGCCAGGAGACAGGCACUGCCGAGGUGCUGAUCCUAAGCCGUCAGCUGCUUGGGUGUAUCUGGGUCUUUAUCCAUUUCUUUAUUCAGAUCUUUUUCUCAAAUGUUACUUCCUCAAAACAGAGGACAUCUCAUUAUUCUAAGGAGCAACGUCAGUGCCUCAGAAGUCCCCAGAGGGCUCCUUGGCUUCCUGUCAUUCCCACAGAAAACACUCUGCUGGAGUCUAAGUUUCCCAUCCAGCAUAAGCUGAACUGUAAACAUCAUCAAGACACGAAGGACUUGGAGAUGUGGAUGAGAGAAAGAGCUGAAAACACUCAUCCUUGAGAGAGAAGGGACAGAAUCAGCACCUUUCCCCUCUGGUCUCCUGAGGGACUUCUUUCCCAUCUCCCAGCUCCACAUCAAUGCUGCUGCCCCUGGCUUUGUAGUGACACAGGGUAGGUGCUGAAUUAGAAAAUCAGCAUAAGGACUGGCAGUGUUUUAGCUCACCCAGCAGUGCCACCUCUUCCAAGCUGUGCACAAAGCCCCUUUCCACCCUUUCCAGCUGCAAGACACAACCCAAGGGAAAGAGACUGCAUCUCUGAUGUCAUUCACGUUAUAGAGUGAGGCCAGUAGGCAGGUGUCUCCAGGUAUGAAUGCCUAAGUGAGAGCAGCUUAUAAAGAAGACACCAGGCUUGGAGGCUAAGGUGAGUGGGGGAAGUCUGUAUGUCAGUCAGGUUCUCAUGCAACACAAACAUAAGGACUGGGUUUGAAUUUAGUCAGUGCUGGGGUAGAUUUUAGGAUUUUAGACCUACCGUUAAGGCUUGUCAGUGGCAUGGGUGCAAGGCUUUAUUUAUUUAUUUAUUGUUUUUGAGAUGGAGUCUAGCUUUGUCAUCCAGGCUGGAGUGUAUUGGCAUGAUCUCAGCUCACUGCAAUCCCACAUCCCAGGUUCAAGUGAUUCUCCUACCUCAGCCUCCCAAGUAGCUGGGAUUACAAGUGCCCGCCACCAUGCCCCGCUAAUUUUUGUAUUUUUAGUAGAGAUGGGGUUUCACUGUGUUGGCCAGGCUGGUCUUGAACUCCUGACCUGAUGAUCCGCCCACCUCAGCCUGCCAAACUGCUGGGAUUACAAGCGUGAGCUACCGCGCCUGGCCGGGUGCAAGGCUUUUUAAAAUUAGAAUGUCAUUGCUGUGUGGCCAGGACACAGCUCCAA